rnacentral:lncRNA from 1 species
GGGCGGGAACUGGGGGGCGGGGUGUGCGCGGGCUUGGUUUGGGGCCGCGGCGGGAGCGGGAGUCACCGCCACUCCAGUGCGCAGGCGCCUGGCGGUUACCGGUCUCGCCAUGGAGCGGAAAGGCCCGGGUCAACGCCGGGAAUUUGGCCUAACCGCCGCCGUCCGGUCCCCGGGUGUGCGGCGGUCCUCCGCCGAGGUGGCGCCGCCCCGCAACCCCCGCCUUUGGGCUGCGGGUCCGCGCCCCUCAGUCCGGGCGUCCUUCCGCGCCGGCAGGCAUCGCCCCUUGUUCCUUGCCCCGCCGGCCCACGCCUCGCGGCCACUCCAGGGCCCGGCCCUCGGCGACCGAGGCCGACCCCCGCCAGCCAGCCCCUUGACACGGCCCGAGCCCCCUCGGGCGCGCCUCGCCUGGACGCUUCUCUGCGCGGGGUGGGCCCCCAGCCCCCUGAGCGGCCGCCCGGCCGACUUCGCGGCACUCGCCCCGGAGCUGAUCCUCAGGCAGGCCCCGCAUCCGGGCCUCGAGCCCCAGCUGGGUCUCCACCCUUACCUUGGCCGCCUCCUUUCCUCCCCACUCGCCCUUCAUCCAUCCCUCUCUCCUGCAGUGCUUGCGCUCCAGGCCCGAAAGAAAAGGACCAAGGCCAAGAAGGACAAAGCCCAAAGGAAGUGAGUCUCGAACCCCAACGUCCCAUUCUUUGGGUCCCCCCCCCUCCGGCACCUCUUCUCCUCCGGUUUCACGCCUUGAACAUGCAGCGGGUGUGGGGACCCUGCGGCCCCAGCCACAUGGCCUCGAGGCGGCUGAAGGAGGGUCGCCCCCCCCCCCAACCAUGUGGAACGGAGCUUCUGUUGCUGAAGGCCAGGUCUGGGUCUGAGCAGCCCCACGCCUGCAGGAAAGGGCUUUUGGGGGAGGACCAGAGCCCGACCUGUCCAUUUACCUUCCCAACGCCAGAGAGGAGGCCCAAGAUCCCCGAAUUUGGGCCUCCCCACGGAGGUGGUAGAUCAUUAUCAGCUUGUGAACUCUGCUCCCUUUUCCACACCUGCUUCCCAGCGUCUUCACUUGCCUGCUACAUCUGAGGUUAGGCAGUCAGGGAAUUCGUGAAUGAAUGUUCCGUAAUUUGGUCUGCUUUUUAUAGGAGAGGGCAUGGAGCUUCCCCUCGGGUCAGGCAACUUGCUGAGCCUGCCAGGCGCAUCGCUUUCCUUGCCGAGUGCAGGCAGACCACUGGGUCUCUUCUUCCUGAACCUCAAGUCCUCGCCCUGAAUGCACAUACCUUCUGUAGUGGGCAUCACAGAGGUGCCAGGGAGGUUCUUUAGUCAGCGCUGUUGGUGAUUACGGUUUGGUGUAUGUCCGUUUUUAUCAGCAGGAUGCAUAAUCGUGGUUUAGUGCUAUUGUGGGAAACACAAAAGUUGGCCAGAGCUUCUUAGAAACGCCCAGUAGAGGGCUUCUGCAAUUCUUCUUAGUCUGAAGAACUUUUAUGUUGUACUCACGUUUAAUUGCAGAGGGUUUUGGAAAUUGUCUUCUAGAAAAAUAUGCAUUUUUUUCCUGAUAGCUUUUCAUUCCAUUUAUUUGGAUUUACAUGGAGUACACCAUCUAAGUCUUUCUGAGCAAUAAAAUUUAUUUCACAGGCUUUCCUGGAUUUCCUUUCUGAAUGGCAAUGCCAAAUGGGUGUGUGUGUGUGUGUGUGUGUGUUUGUGUGUGUGUGUGUGUGUGUUGUUUUUGGUGGCUACCUAAUGUUUCCAGAGAGCAAAAAUGACAUAAAUAGAGCUAAACUGGUAGGUGACCUCACCUCUUGCUUCAUUUCUAUGCAGUGUCUUAUUAAACUUACUUUGUAAAGUGCUUGGUAACUUUAAUGCAUUUAAAUGUGAGUUUAUCUAUAUAUGUUUGUGUACUUAUUUGCUUCUUGAUUAUCCAGGUAUGGAUGAUUCAAAAACCAGUUUUUACUCUCAGAUUGGUUUAAUGAAAACAGCGAGGAGCUAACCUCAUUCUUCUAUGCAUUGGAAUUUAAAUGUUACUCUGUGCAUGUGUGUGCACCCCACUGGCAGGGCAUGUGGUUACCUUCUUCCCUGUGGAGUUGAUAUGAAUGUGUUAUAAAACAAUAGGUUUACUGCUGAUGUAAGGAGCUGGUGAUUUUUAUUGUUCACUGUAUCAUUUAGAAUUCAUCUGUCUGAUCUCUCUCCAGAGGAAAUAAAUAUGUAUGGGUGAUCAUAUACUUUAUUUUUAACACCAGAUAUUUAUUACUUUGGAUUAUCUAUUUAGACCAUAUACUUUAUUUCUAAAGCUGAAUAUAUGUCCUUUGGAUUAUCUGUUAUUCCUCCAUUUCACUACUGCGGAUAACUAAGAGUUACUUGUGUUCUUAAUUAUUUAUGUACUUGCGCAAAAGCGAGUGAAUAGUAUAGUUAAUUAGCAGUUAUUUUACUGAAUAUUUCAUUUUGUACAACUUUGACUCCUUGAGUCAUCCCCAUUUACUUGUAGUUUCAGAAGUGCUUUUUUUCUUCAAUUAAUAGUGUUUCUUGAUCAUUUUACCUUUUGUUUGUUUCUCCAGCUUCCUAUUAAGCAGCUGAAAUGUCUAAUUAAUUAACUUGGUUAGAGAGUACUAUGUCAGAAGUUCAAGCCCUGCCUGGCUCAGGUAACUUGAUUCUAUUCCAUGACUCCUGACUGCACUCCUGACUUCCAGUCCCUUUGCAAAGACAAGCUGCUAGUUACCAGAUUAGUUAGGGUAGAAAGUGAGGAAGAAGCAUGCCAUAGAUUGGUCUUUGGAGUGAGUCAGAUCUGGUUGAAAUUCUGACUUUGCUACUUUUUAGCAAUUGUCUUAGUUAAGAAAAUAGUUUUUUAUGUUAUGACUCAGUCAUAAGGAAAACUGGAUCAGGACUUGAAAUUUUAAAAAACAAUCAUUUAAAUGAAAAACCUCAGAAACUUGUGGAGGUACAACUAGCAUCCUGAUAGUUUAGUCAUGGUGUGGUAUAGGUGUAAAGGAUUUUCAUUCCCCUGACUUUGUAGUCCUUGAAACUAGAAUCUCCAUACUUUAAAUAAUGUGCCCAUGGAGUCUGAGCUGCUUGCAUUAGGGUCAAAACUGAAAUCCAGGGCUCCUUUUUCCAGUGCAAUUUAGGAUUUGCUGUCUUUGGGUUCUUUUACUAUGCUGAAAGAUCUGACUUUGGGAAUUUUUAGUUGUCGUAUUUCUAGACUUUCUUUCUCAAUUUUACUUUUUCAGGCAUUGUGCUUUAACUAGUUGGUGAUAAUCUGUGUUUUACUUUACAGAUAAGAAAAUUGGGAUUUGCCAAAUUACUACCCUAGAAAAUUAAAUUACUACCCUAGUAUUCUAACCCAGAUCUAACAGCCCCAAAGCCCUGGGUUCACUGCUGUUUCCAAGAGACAAUUACUUUGGUGUAUCUGAAGGCAAAUAAGGUAGGGGUUGAGUGAACAGAGGCUUCUGAGUAAGGGACGUCAGGAUGCCUCGGUAUUUAGGUACACUUUCAUAGCCCAUUGUGUGCUUCUCUUAAAGGUACAAUGUUCUGUCUCCCUUUGAACAUUCAGUUUUCAACAUGUACAUCAAGAACUGUGCCUUUAUCUGUUUGUCAUAAGCUUUUAUAAUUUAACACAAUUUAUGUCUGCUUUUGAAAUUGUUUCUAUGGAAGAUAAUUCCAGAAUUGAUUUCGUAUCUAAUAAUUCUAUUACUUAGCUUGGGAAAUUUGUUAGUAAUUUUCACUUUAUUUGUAGAUAAAGAACUUUUUGGGCUAGUAUGAAUUUGGUAGUAAAAUUAUUUGAGCUAGAAAAGUGCUUUUGUUCAUUACAGCACUCACUCACCUAUGGAGUCAGAGGGGAGAUGGUUUUAUUUCUUUAAUUUUCCAAAAAUGUAGUUGUUAAGUUGAAAACUUAGGAGCGGAGUUCCCGUCAUGGCUCAGCGGUUAACGAACCCAUUUGUCCAUGAGGAUGUGGGUUCCAUCCUGGGCCUCGCUCAGUGGGUUAAGGAUCUGACGUUGCUGUGAGCUGUGGUGAAGGUUGCAGAUGCAGCUUGGAGCGUUGCUACGGCUGUGAUGUAGGCUGGCAACUACAGCUCCGAUUCAGCCCCUAGCCUGGGAA